rnacentral:rRNA from 1 species
AUUGAACGCUGGCGGCAGGCCUAACACAUGCAAGUCGAGCGAGCGGCGGACGGGUGAGUAAUGUAUGGGGACUGCCCGAUAGAGGGGGAUAACUACUGGAAACGGUAGCUAAUAACGCAUAAUAUCCGCUAACCCAUAGGGGAUUAGCUAGUGGGUGGGGUAAUGGCUCACCUAGGCGACGAUCCCUAGCUGGUCUGAGAGGAUGAUCAGCCACACUGGGACUGAGACACGGCCCAGACUCCUACGGAGGCAGCAGUGGGGAAUAUUGCGCAAUGGGCGAAAGCCUGAUGCAGCCAUGCCGCGUGUGUGAAGAAGGCCUUAGGGUUGUAAAGUACUUUCGGUCGGGAGGCGUUACCUAACGAAGAAGCAACGGCUAACUCCGUGCCAGCAGCCGCGGUAAUUC